AAACUCUGAGGAAAAAAAAAACAAAAUGAAUCAAAACUUUCAACAACGGAUCUCUUGGUUCUGGCAUCGAUGAAAAACGCAGCGAAAUGCGAUAAGUAAUGUGAAUUGCAAAAUUCAGUGAAUCAUCGAAUCUUUGAACGCACAUUGCGCCCUCCGGUAUUCCGGAGGGCAUGCCUGUUCGAGCGUCAUUUCAACCCUCAAGCACUGCUUGGUGUUGGGGCACUGCUCCUCUCGCGGGGAGCAGGCCCUGAAAUUCAGUGGCGAGCUCGCCAGGACCCCGAGCGCAGUAGUUAAACCCUCGCUCUGGAAGGCCCUGGCGGUGCCCUGCCGUUAAACCCCCAACUCUUGAAAAUUUGACCUCGGAUCAGGUAGGAAUACCCGCUGAACUUAAGCAUAUCAAAAGGCGAGGAAGGGUUGUUGGAACACAUCAAUGCCCUCGAACCAUUAGGAAAUUAUCUUUAUUGUUGCUCGGGCAA
rnacentral:rRNA from 1 species